rnacentral:rRNA from 1 species
UACGUAGGGCGCGAGGCGUUGUCCGGAAUUUAUUGGGCGUAAAGGAGCUACGUAGGCGGUCUGUCGCGUCGGCUGUGAAAACCCGGGGCUCAACCCGGCCUGCAGUCGAUACGGCAGACUAGAGUGCGGUAGGGGAGACUGGAAUUCCUGGUGUAGCGGUGAAAUGCGCAGAUAUCAGGAGGAACACCGGUGGCGAAGGCGGGUCUCUGGGCCGUAACUGACGCUGAGGAGCGAAAGCGUGGGGAGCGAACAGG